UACGUAGGGUGCAAGCGUUAAUCGGAAUUACUGGGCGUAAAGCGUGCGCAGGCGGCUUUGCAAGACAGAUGUGAAAUCCCCGGGCUUAACCUGGGAACUGCAUUUGUGACUGCAUGGCUGGAGUGCGGCAGAGGGGGAUGGAAUUCCGCGUGUAGCAGUGAAAUGCGUAGAUAUGCGGAGGAACACCGAUGGCGAAGGCAAUCCCCUGGGCCUGCACUGACGCUCAUGCACGAAAGGCGUGGGGAGCAAACAGG
rnacentral:rRNA from 1 species